CACCUACGGGUGGCAGCAGUCGAGAAUAAUCCGCAAUGGGCGAAAGCCUGAUCCAGCGACGCCGCGUGUAGGAAGAAGUCCCUCGGGAUGUAAACUACUGUCAGGGACCACCAAGCAACCGGGGCUAAUAUCCCCGGAAGUUGAGGAGUCCCAGAGGAAGCCACGGCUAACUUCGUGCCAGCAGCCGCGGUAAUACGAAGGUGGCAAGCGUUGUUCGGAAUCACUGGGCUUAAAGAGCAUGUAGGCGGCUCAUCAAGCGUCUUGUGAAAUCCCUCGGCUCAACCGAGGAAUGGCUGGGCGAACUGAUGGGCUUGAGGCAGGUAGGGGCACACGGAACUCUUGGUGGAGCGGUGGAAUGCGUAGAUAUCAAGAGGAACGCCGGUGGCGAAGGCGGUGUGCUGGGCCUGUCCUGACGCUGAGAUGCGAAAGCCAGGGGAGCAAACGGGAUUAGAUACCCCGGUAGUCCUGGCCCUAAACGAUGUCCACUAGGUCGAAGUCUCUCUGACGGGUUUUCGGCCGAAACAAAAGCGUUAAGUGGACCGCCUGGGGAGUACGGUCGCAAGGCUAAAACUCAAAGGAAUUGACGGGGGCUCACACAAGCGGUGGAG
rnacentral:rRNA from 1 species